UACGUAGGGGGCAAGCGUUGUCCGGAAUUAUUGGGCGUAAAGAGCGCGUAGGCGGUCCGAUAAGUCGGCUGUGAAAGUCAAGGGCUCAACCCUUGAAAGCCGGCCGAUACUGUCGGACUAGAGUCCGGAAGAGGCGAGUGGAAUUCCUGGUGUAGCGGUGAAAUGCGCAGAUAUCAGGAAGAACACCUAUGGCGAAGGCAGCUCUCUGGGACGGUACUGACGCUGAGACGCGAAAGCGUGGGGAGCGAACAGG
rnacentral:rRNA from 1 species